UCCUGCUCUUCCUCUUCCUCUUCCCUUGCGCCGCCAUCAGCGGCGGGCAGGGGUCUCUGGGAGGAACAGGACGGGACACGAGGGGAGUUCCAGCGGACGGGAAAGGCCAACUGCCACUUCCAGAACGGCAUUCCAGAGUGGAGCUGGACAGGUACAGCUUGGGCACUCCGUUGGAAAGCCACUCUGCAUCAUCCCAUGCUGAUCCUUGUCUACAUCUCACCCACCUCCAGGCUCUGGAAAUUCUCUUCUUCCAUCUCCAUUCAUCACUCACCAGCACGGGCACAUGGAGAAUAGCCUUACAAGUGUGAGGAAUGUCGGAAGAGGGUUCAGAGCAUCUCAGAUCUCAUGAAACAUCAGUGGACACACCUGGGAAAAUCUCUACCCAGCCCCCCCCUCCUAUCAGGCAACACUAUGAUCUGAGAAAUACUUGUUUAGGCCUUGGCCUUGACAAGCAGCCCCUGGGCUUAACUCCUCUUAAGUUUAUCACCAGCAUUGUCUGUUCCAGGGACUGGUGCUGUCCAACAAGCUCCAACAGCCUUGGAAACUUUUUUUUUGCCUGAAUAACAUCCCAAAUGGGAUCAUAUUUUAGUUCUCAACCUUUCCCAGAAAGUCACCAGCCUGAGCUUGGGCCAGGAUGGACAAUGUCUGUGAAUAAAGCCCAUCCCUUGGGCCCUAUAAACAGCAGCCCAGAGUGAGUGAGACCCUUGAGUUACAGUACAAGCUGGCUUGUACUGUAACAAGUUGGGCAAUUUCACCCAAUCACACCUGCACCCUAAGCUGCAGACAUCUCACUGCUCAGAGAACUGAGAGGUGGUAAGAUCAGACCAAUGAGCGGUUUAGACUGGGGCAUUUUCAAACCCCCUGUAUAAAGCUGGGUUCAGACAAUAAAGCUCUCUCUAUUAUUGCCACUUGUAA